rnacentral:rRNA from 1 species
UACGUAGGGUCCUAGCGUUGUUCGGAUUUAUUGGGCGUAAAGGGCGUGUAGGCGGUCCGGUAAGUCGGCUGUGAAAUUCCAGGGCUCAACCCUGGGAUGGCGGUCGAUACUGCCGGGCUAGAGUACGGAAGAGGCGAGUGGAAUUCCCGGUGUAGCGGUGAAAUGCGCAGAUAUCGGGAGGAACACCGAUGGCGAAGGCAGCUCGCUGGGACGUUACUGACGCUGAGACGCGAAAGCGUGGGGAGCAAACAGG